ACGGAAGGCAGCAGUGGGGAAUAUUGCACAAUGGGCGAAAGCCUGAUGCAGCGACGCCGCGUGAACGAAGAAGUAUUUCGGUAUGUAAAGUUCUAUCAGCAGGGAAGAAAAUGACGGUACCUGACUAAGAAGCUCCGGCUAAAUACGUGCCAGCAGCCGCGGUACUACGUAUGGAGCAAGCGUUAUCCGGAUUUACUGGGUGUAAAGGGAGCGCAGACGGCAUGGCAAGCCAGAUGUGAAAGGUGGGGGCUCAACCCCCAAGCUGCAUUUGGAACUGUCAAGCUAGAGUAUCGGAGAGGUAAGUGGAAUUCCUAGUGUAGCGGUGAAAUGCGUAGAUAUUAGGAGGAACACCAGUGGCGAAGGCGGCUUACUGGACGAUAACUGACGUUGAGGCUCGAAAGCGUGGGGAGCAAACAGGAUUAGAUACCCUGGUA
rnacentral:rRNA from 1 species